CAGACUUAAAUUUGGAUUGUGGAGGACAAAAUCUAAGAUUCACCUAAGACUUACAAUUUGAAGAAUCAGAUUUAGGUGAUGCAAAUUUAUCUGCUAAACAAAACAUGCUCCAAAUGUUCUGCAAUAAUCAUUCUACCACUGUUUGAAUCAAAAUGUCGUGACCACACGGUAUUAAAGUAUAAAUUUAUACUUUUAUUUUCUAAUAUGUAAAACACAUUAUAACAAUAUAUAUUAUAUAUAACCAUCCAUAGGACAAUAAUCACAAUAUCCACUUAUAUAUAUAUUGACCUUCACCAAUAGCGUAUUACAUUAAGGUCAAGGUCAUAUAGCAGGCGAAGGUCAUAAACAUCAAAGCAAUUCCGUGGAAGAAAGCACCACUGGACAAUACAUAUCAGCAGGAUGGAGGGUCAUCGACGUCCUAAGAUCACGUGGUAUGUUGACAAUGAUCUGGAGACUGAAGAGCAUUAUAGAAGAGAUACAACAACUCCCUAAAGAAAUACCUCGAUACCUGACACAUUAAUCUCUCCGGUGGUCUGUCUGUGCCACUGACUAUGAAGUCUGGCGCCUCACUGUCCUCCAGAUAAAAGCCGCCUUUCUAGACAUGCGCAGAAAAGAGAAUAAGGCAGGAAAAACCAUUCAUAAUCUUGCCGCUAGAGUGGAGCCACUAUGGCCGUAGUUGUUUGUCCCGAAUAGGACGCGUUGGACAUCAACAGCCCUGCAACAGACGUGGUCAUACCUCUUUGUAAAUCUUUGCUUGUCAAGCCAGACCAAGAGAAAGGAGGUAGUUGUUAAAUCAUUAAGUAAUUCUCAGUCAUAAAUAAUCUAGGAUUCCGAAUUAGCUUAAAUUAUUUACAAGUCAUACGAUAUUCUUUCUCGUCGUUCUGCUCCCACAUUCUGCGUUAAAAUACAGGUGAGUUGAACUUUGGUUUCAAACCUUUAGUGCUCAUAAAGGACAGCAGGUACGUACUGGAAUACUUUUAAAUCGCUAAGCAAUCCACCCAAAAUUACUAAUACUCAACCCAAGAUUAGAGGCAUUAAAUUUUUAGAAUUGAAAUUUUGUGAUAUGUUCCUGCAACCAAUGUAUAAAGUGUUAAUUACAAAUCUGUGUCCUAGAAACAUAAUGAAACAAUUUUAAUUAAAACGGAUAAUUAAGAAAUUGUCUAAAUCAUACAAUUCCUGUGAGUUCAGUAAGAUAAGAAAAUAAAUUAUUUUAAAAACGUUAUUGUUUUUUCGUCGCGACUUAUCCCACUGAAUGCAUUUUGCUUGAAACGAAACGUGAUUAAGUUGAAUAAUUAUAUUCAGCUACGUGUGAAAUAUGUAGGAUCUCUUUCUAGUAUUAUAUAUAUAUAUAUAUAUAUAACACUUGACAGAGGUUACGUAUGUAUUAAAAAGAGGAUUUCGUUACAUGUUAUCAUAAAUCUCGUAGGCUCAUAGAACGAACAUCUCAUUAGAUGUCUAGUGAGGAGAAACAUAUAAAACAAAUUUAAGAUGGCUGCUAGGUGUUAGGCGUCUAUUAAUCUUCACAGAUCAUAUGGCUUUACUGGUGUGAAGGUGAAAUCAUGUCUUUCAUGAUUCUUAGGCCCACUGGAAGAGGAUGCCCGUAGGUAGCUGUCGCCGCUAUAUCUGCAAGCUGCGGUAUGGUUUGUAUAGCUACAUCAUUUCAUUGAGGCUAUUAAAUACAGGUUGGAGUAUGGUCGCCUGUUAGUAGCUCGGUAUGAAAUCCGUAGAGAUCUAACACAUAGGUGGCAAUAGCUAUCCCGUGGUAAUAAUCAUAUAUGGUUGCCCUGAAUUAAAAUCAGGUGGUUAAAAGUUAAAAUAAUUAAGUCUGGAUGAUCAGUAGCAUUGGUGGGGUUGUAGUCUUUGCGGACCAAGACGAUUAAAUAUUGUGCCCUCUCGUUUAGAAGUGCAAGGCCUAAAUUGUUUUAUUUGGAUUGGCGUCUGCCAGUGGCUUAAUUUCAUUACCAAAGUGUACUUCUGGGGGUAAGAUAAUAUCAUUCAGUUUUCUUGUCGAUGGAAACUGCACGCUAGCAUAGUGUCUCGGUGUGGCAGAGUUGGCAACUGCGAGAUGCAGACGAGAAAGUCGAAAAGGACAAUUAAAUAUAAACCAUUUGAUGUUGGAGAAGUCAAUCUAAUGAUCGGGGAGCCUCUAGAUGAAACAGAAAAGGAUGGAGGAGGAGUUGCCAUUAUCUGAAGGAGUGUGGAUGAUGUAUAUAACUUUUCCUGAAGUCGUUCCCUCUCAUGCUUGUGUAGUGUCGGGUAAUGCCAUCAGAUGUUUUCCGGAUGCCUGUUUAGCCACAUCACUUAAGAGGCACCUGGUAGUAUUACGAAAGUUACAAUGUGGAUUGGAUGAGUGGUGUGUUUGCGUCUAGUAUGGCGAGCAAUGCCAUAAUUACGGUUUCUAAGGAAACAUUUUUAAUAAGUGUCAGAAAUUUUCUAGCUAUGUUUGUGGAAGUGAAAUGGAAGAUUGCUGCAACAAUCUUAAUUCUCUGUUGAUUUCGCUCCGACAACAACACAACGACCGACCAUGAGUAGCAUCAAAUGCAAUGGAACUGAGUCGCUAAAUAUUCCAUACCGCCACUGCCAGAUAGAGCUCUGACGCCGACAGCUGUAGACCCGCAUCUUGUCCAAGCUGUUUAAAUUAAAAAUAAAGAAUUGAUAUCAGGUUCACACUGAUAACAGCGCGUAGGAUAAGUUGGCCAACGGAGGCCUAAUAGCUCGCAGCCAUCUUGAAAUUGUCUCCUAUCUAUUUCCUGCUUGUUUGAUGCCUGACUAGAUAAGUUCGUUCGAAGAGCGUACGAAAGUUUAAGCUUCAUGGAGUCAACCUUUCCCACCGUUUGACAGGUGGUGUUGCCCGGUUUACUUUGCUGUAACUAUCAACAAAAACGAUCAACAGAUUAAGUGUCAGGCUUAAAAUAUAUAUCUAUUUUACUGGGGUCGACUAAAAGGCUUCAAGGCGGUGCCCCAAUGCAGCCGAAGUCUAUUGACAAGCAAAUAAAAGAUUUUUUUAAAUUGGGACUUAUUCAAAAAUCUAUAUAAUUUCAGAUAGACACACACGCACAUACAUACAUACAUACACACACAUACACAGACAUUUUUCAUGCUUACUGAAGGAACAAAGUACAACAUGGAGUGGUUUGUGUAAUUGAGUUUGAAGAUUCACACUACACACAUGUACCUCUGUGUCACUCUCGAGGGUGUUUUUGCUGUUGCCCAUGCUUCAAACAUCCUUACGAAAUACGAACGAUCAUAUGCGUAGUAAUGGAACCGUAUAUCUAAUAACAAUAAUUUUACAUAUGCACAUAUAGUUAUUUGAAUAAUGUCGGUAAAAGUUAAUCAAGCAAAUGAUGCUAAUUAUAUUGUACAUUUCUAAUUUUAAUAGCAACAAUUACUGCAUACAUUUAUACAAAAUCAUUUCCAGGACAACUCUUUUUACUUAUGGAAAAGGCAGAUAUGACGACCAGGCAACAAAUAGUGCGUAAAAUAGCAAGUAAUGGUUUUGCUGUGGUAGGUAACAUAUAUAACGAUUAUUACAAAAAACAAGCACAAAUUAAAAGUUGAGCGUUUACUUGAAUAGUAAAACAAAAUGCAAAAUCAAUGCACCAGAACAGUUCAUAUCUCAUCGCAUAUAGAUAUUGGUAAGUGGAAGCCAAAUGAUUAUUUGAAGCAAAGAUUAUAUUUAACCAACACAAGUUUACGCUUCUAGCAUUCAUAAAUUAUGAUAAGUGUUACUCCUAAAUCAUUGAUUUAUUUGUGAAUGCGCCAUUUUCUUCCAAUCUUGCAGCCAUUCUGAGUACUUGCAUCUUUUUAAAUACCAAACAUAUAUACAUAAAUAAC